CUUGACAAAAGCUUUGUAAGUUGGGUAGCUUCAGGAACAAGCUGCCUUCUUCAGGAUUCAGUGCCCUGUUCCUUUGCUUCUAGCCUUGUGGCAGUAAGGACUGCUCAGGGACGGGGGCACUAGAGCAUUCUCCAAAGUUAAGGGCAGGUAACAGAACCUGGAAAAUGAUUUUUCCCCAUUUUCUUUCCUGAGUCUUAGUAAAUAUGUGUUGAGGGCUUGUUUGGUGCCAGACACUAUAGUUGAGGAUAUGGCACUGAACAAAAUGGAAAAUUGAACUUCCUGGAGCUCAGAUUCUAGUGGGGAAGACAGAUAAUAAACUAUACAACAUCACAGUGGUUCCCAAAGUGGCAUUCGGGUCCAGCAGCACCUGGGAAAGGUAGAAAUGGACGUUCUCAACUUCCAGGCCAGACCUGAGUCGGAAAACUGCUGUAACAAGCCCUCCAGGUAACUCUUCUGCACACUCAAGUUUGAGAACCACAGUGCUGUCGCAUGGUGAGAAGCUAUGGAGAAAAAGAGGGGCGUUGCUGAUACCAGCCAAUGUUAAAAUAGUGAAGCAGUUAGACACUGAACUUGAGCAAUGCAGAUUCACAUCCCAGCCCUGCCACUGGGAAUUGUGUAACCUUAAGCGGGUUACUUAAUCUCUCUGUAUCUUGGUUCUCCUUCUGAAAAAUGGUGAUAAUAAUAGUACCUAUCUGAUAGGGCGGUGAGGAUUAAAGGCGUCAAUAAAUAUGAAAGUGCUGAGAUCCUGACACAUAGCAAAUAAUAGCCUUGUGGGGUCUCUUGCAUUUCUGCAAAUCUAGCAAGCAAGGCACCACCCUUUUAUUCCAAACUUAUUUUUGCAAGAAUGUUUGUAUAUAUAAACAGCCUUGGAAGAUUGAGAUCAUGUCUCCUUCUGAGGCAAAGAGCAGCCAUGCUUACUGUCCAAUAUGGUAAAGAAAAUGUGUCCCUCCGGAGCUAAGGCAGCCGUGCUUACUCCCAUUACAAAGGGUUUCGGUUCCCUCAGCUCAGAGUUCCUCUGCUUUAGGGAGAGCCAUGCAGAGAGCUGUUGUCACCUGGCCUUUUUAGUAUCACAUUGUAGGAAUCUGUACAAAAAAUGCUAAUGGCUACUGCUCAUGAGUAAUAAAUUGUCCUUUGUCUCUGACCCAGGAGUCUAAUGUCCUCUGCCAGCAUCCACAGAACAGCGGCAGGCUCACCUAACUGCAGAAGCUGCUUCCCUUGGAACUACCCAAACCCCAUCUCAGCAUAUCCUGAAUUCUGCCCUAAGAAUUACCCAAAAUUGUGAGAAAACCCAGUGGUCAACGAAUUACCAAGCUUCUCUUGGCCCUCGGGAAGGAACUAUGUCAAGACCUGGAAGCAGAAAGGAGGAUAAAACAAAAGACUUUCUAAAACACAGUAAUGUCAAGUGUGUUGCUUAACCUCAGAAAAUCCUUAACGAGGGUUGGAAACUGACUGACAGGUGAACUCAGGGAGAAAUGGGGAAUGCAUGAAACUGCUUAAGUAGAACUGCCCCAAGGAAGAACCUGAGAAGUUCAGCUGGUAGAUUUUCUGAGAAGAUGAAAGUGUAGGCAUUAGCGUAUUCAAGAAUUAGGCAGUGAGUUUUCCCUAUUUGAAGGCUAAAAAAGGAAUGAUCUGCUGCCCAAGACAAAGAAGAAAAUGAUUUGGGCCCAGAGGGAACUGUCACUCACACGUACCCUGACCGGGGGGCUGUGGAAGGAUUAGAGUCGCCAUUUUGGCUUCUCUAGAGUGAAGCAGAACAAUGUCUAGUGGUUGCUAGGCAACCAUUAGCCCAUCGCUGCCCUUUUCCAUUAAAUAUUAUCUGUCUUCUUAGAUUGUUCUAAUUUUUUUUUUAAACAGGAAAGGUAGUGCAACAGAGAAUUUCCAGUGCGACCUAACAAUAAAAAUACAUUUGAGGUGAAGGCUUUGCAAAGGUUAGAUCACUCUUAAGUGGGAUGUUAGAGAUAGUGACAGUUGACUGAAACCUCUUCCCACCCCCCCAAAUUUCAUCAUUUAACCUCAUGUUUCUGGAUGCCCAAAAUAAUAACACUGGAGACAUAUAACGAUAAUCACUGAACCUUGUAAAAUUUAAGGGCAGACAUUUUUACACUGAUCCAGUUUGAAUAAUAUCAGUGCACUGCAGUGACCUUCCCCGAGCUACAUCUGUCCUGAAGCAAGUCUGUCAGCAAAGAAUGGCUGUCAGAGGUGGCGAAUAGAAGUUCUGGCUCCGAUCAGCUUUGCAGACAGCUAAAAGCAUAUUCACAGCACCUGAGCAUAAACACAUGGAAAUAACACCUGUUUGUAAGGAACACUUUCUGGGACAUAAGAAUGUAAAGGACCUGGAAGGAGACAAUACAAGUCAUUAUUCAGAAACCCAUUUGCAUUGAUGUUUUAGAGCUACAUUUAUGACUUUUACAACAAGAGGAAGAGAAAGUACCCAGCAAAAGGGUAUAGAAUCAGGAUUCUGAGUUAUGCUACCCUGUCAUGCACCAGGCACAAGCAUAUCUUUUUCAGUUCCAGUGGGUUCCCUGUCCAGUUCAGAAGACCUAUCUAGGAAAGGAUUCAGGGAAAGAAAAUGAGUUGAUUCUAUAAUCUGCACUGAAACAAAGACACACACAUGAAGUUAGGUUCUCUGACUCUAACACAUCCCCAAGAUAAAGGUGAUGCGACUGGGUGCCUGGCUGGGAGAAUGGAAUAUGCAAUUAACUGGGUAACAAGCCUGGUUCUCCUACUCACCAGUUGUAUGACCUUGAGCAAUUUUACUGUGCUCUUUAUCUGUAGUGAGGGUAACAAUAACUACUUCAUCAGGGCUGUUAUAAGAAUUAAACAAUAUAAUGGAUGGUAAAUAUUUGCAAAAAGACACAUCUGGUAAAGAGUGUUAUCCAAAAUUUAAAAAGAACUCUUGAAACUCAACAAUAAGGAAACAACCUGCUUAAAAAAUGGGCCAAAAACAGUAACAGACAUCUCAGCAAAGAAGAUAUAUCAGUGGCCAAUAAACAUGAAAAGAUACUUCACAUUGUAUGUAAUUAGGGAAAUACAAAUUAAAAUAACAGUGAAAUACCUCUACCCACCUAUUAGAAUGGCCAAAAUCCAAAACACUGCCAACACCAAAUGCUGGUGAAGAUGUGGAACAACAGGCACUCUCAUUCACUGCUGGUGGGAAUGCAAAACGGUAACACUUUGGAACACAGUGUGGUGAUUUCUUACAAAGUAAACAUAGCCUUUCCAUAUGAUCUAGCAAUUGUACUCCUUGGCUAUAUUUUAGGUCAUAAGAAAAUGGGAUGAGAGAGUACAUAUUUAAGAUAGUCCAAUUAAGAAGUGUGAGUCAAGGGGUUUAAUCCAUCAAAACUGAUCUUCAAGGAAAAAGGUCUUAAAUGAUCUACUAUUAUCAUAACUCAGGGAAUAUUGUUCCCGUGACCUCUUCCUAAGGAAUCGCAUAAAGAAUGAACAUCACACUACAGAGACAUCAACCUAAGAACUAUAGUGAGCAUUCUAUACAUAUGGCAUAGAAUUGAGAAUAGAGAGUAUUAAGGGAGUUUAUAAUCUCUACUAGCUAUGUGAUCUGACAAUGUAUACAUGAAACAGACAACCUGGGAAAGGAGUAGGGAAGUGCAAAUCAGAAACCGCAGCGAGAUACCACUUCACACCCACUAAGAUGACUAUAAUUAAAAAAAGAAAAGAGGGGAAAAAGGGGGGAAAGGAUGUGAAGACAGAUACCAGAACCCACAUACAUUUCUAGUGGGGGCAUAAAAUGGUACAGCCACUGUGGAAGGUAGUUUGGCGGUUCUGCAAAAAGGCAAACAAUUACUAUAUGCCCCUGCAAUUUUACUCCCAGGUAUAUAUACACAAGAGAAUCGAAAACAGGUGCUCACACAGUAACUUGUACAUGAAUGUUCAUUGCAGCAUUACACUUUUCACAGGAGUGAAAGAUGGAAACAACCCAAAUAUAUAUAACUGAUGAGUUGAUUAAAAUCAAAAUCUGUAUAUCCAUACAAUGGAAUAUUAUUCCAUCAUAAAUAGGAACAAAGUACUAAUACAUGUGACAACAUGGAUGAACUUUGAAUAUAUUAUGUUAAAUGAAAGAAGCUAUAUAUACAAAAGUCUACAUAUUGCACAAUUCCAUUCAUAUUUAAUGUCCCGAAUAAGCAAACCCACAGAAACAGAAAAUAGAUAGUAAUUCCUAAGGGUUGGGGGUUGGGGAGGAUGGGGAAUAAUUACUAUGGGUACAGUGUUUCUCUCUGGGGUGAUUACAAUAUUCUGGAAUUAGAUAGUGGUAAUGGUUGUACAACACUGAAUUUAACUAAAAACCACUGAACUGUACACUUUUAAAUGGCGAAUUUUAUUUAUGUGAAUUAUAUCUCAAUUUUAAAAGAGUAAAUACUGGCAGUCCAUAAAUAUGACAGCUGAGCUUCCAUUUACUCGGCUAUUCACACUAUUGUUUAGACAGAUGUUUUGCAGAUGUGGUCCAUGAACCACCUGCAUUGAAUCACCUGAGGUGCACUUUCCUGGAGUCCCAUCCAGACCUCCUCAAACAACAUCCUGGAAUGUAGGCAACAGAAUCUGCCCUUGGGUAAUUCAUUCACACAAAAUAUGUUUUAAAACUCUGCCUUUGUGGUUAGGGUUUUUAAAAAAUCUUUUAAUGCACAAGAGAUGCCAUGUGGGCUACAAGUUCUUAAUAGGAAAAACAACUAUUAAUUGCAGACCAGAGAUGUCAUUCUGGGAUUUCCCUACAUCGUCAUUCUAGAAAUUUCCUUUCCCCUCUUCCUUGUUAAGCCCUUAUAAACUGUACCCUGCAUAUUCUUCUUUCUUAAUCUCUUGUUUUGGUGGAACACAUCGUCCAGACCUUCCUGAGAAAGGGUGCAGAGGAGAUGAUUUUUUUGAGACUUGGCUGAUGGAAAGAAAGUGCCUAUAAUCAAUUAAUAGACUGAGUUUGGAAUUCUGGGUUGGAAUUAAUUUUCAUUCUGAGUUUUGAAGGUCUUGUUCUGUUACUUUCGAGUUUCCAGUAUUGCCAUUAAGAAAUCUGAAGACAUCAUGAUUCCUGAUUCUUUGUAUGUGACCUGUUUUAAUUUUUCCUUUUUUGAAAUUCUCUCUGGAAGCUUGUGAUCUCUUCUGUCUUCUCUGUUCUGAAAACUCAUGUUGUUGUGUCUCUGCAUUCAUUGUUUUGGGUACUUAGUGGGCUCUUCAAUUUACCAACUAAUGUUUGUCAAUUAUAGGAAAUGUUCUUGAAAUAUAUGCCCCCCCCCCACUUUUAUUUAACGAAAAAAAACCACCUCUCUUUCUUGACCAUCCCCUCCUUUUCACUCUUUUUCUAAUGGUAAUGUUCCAAAUUCAUUUUCUAAGUUUUUAGUUGAGGGUUUCAUUUCUGCUGUAUUUUAAAU